GACGUAGGGCGCGAGCGUUGUCCGGAUUUAUUGGGCGUAAAGCGCGCGCAGGCGGCCUCGCGCGCCCGACGUGAAAGCCCCCGGCUUAACCGGGGAGGGUCGUUGGGGACGGCGGGGCUUGAGGGCGGGAGAGGUCGGUGGAAUUCCCGGUGUAGUGGUGAAAUGCGUAGAGAUCGGGAGGAACACCUGUGGCGAAGGCGGCCGACUGGGCCGACCCUGACGCUGAGGCGCGAAGGCGUGGGGAGCGAACGGG
rnacentral:rRNA from 1 species